rnacentral:rRNA from 1 species
CUAUGCGCCUUGCCAGCCCGCUCAGGUGUGCCAGCAGCCGCGGUAAUACGUAGGGAGUCAAGCGUUGUCCGGAAUUACUGGGCGUAAAGGGCGCGUAGGUGGGCGCUUAAGUCAGGUGUGAAAACUCCGGGCUCAACCUGGAGACUGCACUUGAAACUGGGUGUCUUGAGGGCAGGAGAGGAAAGUGGAAUUCCUAGUGUAGCGGUGAAAUGCGUAGAUAUUAGGAGGAACACCAGUGGCGAAGGCGGCUUACUGGACUGUAACUGACGUUGAGGCUCGAAAGCGUGGGGAGCAAACAGG